rnacentral:SRP_RNA from 3 species
GAGUAAGUCCUAUACAACAUUCGCCUGCCCAACCAUGUCAGAUCCGGAAGGAAGCAGCAUCCGGCAUUGUGAGUGUGUGAUAUAGUAAGCUUACUCUCU